UACAGAGGUCCCAAGCGUUGUUCGGAUUCACUGGGCGUAAAGGGUGCGUAGGCGGUCAGGUAAGUCUGAUGUGAAAUCUCUGGGCUUAACCUGGGAAUUGCAGUGGAUACUGGCAGGCUGGAGUAUGGUAGAGGAAGGUGGAAUUCCCGGUGUAGCAGUGAAAUGCGUAGAGAUCAGGAGGAACACCGGUGGCGAAGGCGGGUCUCUGGGCCGAUAUUGACGCUGAGGAGCGAAAGCGUGGGGAGCGAACAGG
rnacentral:rRNA from 1 species